UAAAUGCUAAGGUGCUUAGUGAUGUCCUUUUUUAUUUUUGCCAAGAAAUCCAUCAUAUCCACACUUGGACAUUCAGACACCUUAUUUUAAUAUAGUUAAACUAUGCAAGUUCACCUGUACUGUAAGCUUUAGGCUUGAUUUGGGGAAGUGUUGCAUCACUCAGUCUGUUAGUAAUUAUUGCUAAGUACAAAGUUUCACAGUUGCAAUGUGUUAAAGUGACUCAAUCCAGCUGGAUUAAAAGGAAGGCAAGUACAGAAAUCAAACAACCUUUGUAUUAUUUGAAAUUAAGAAAACACAGUAAGUGAAAAGCUUUAAAGUGAAGUGAACCUCACAGCUUUUACCACAUCCUGUGUGGUGGCAAGCAAGGGUGAUAAGAAUGUGACUCUGACUUUAUGUGGGCAUGCUGUCCUAACACUUCUAACACAUACUGUAGGAUCCAGUGACAGAUGCUCAGUCCUCAGACUUACAAAAUAUUCCUGCAUGCUGAGUGACUAAGACUGACAUGAUGGGACAGUGUAGCUUCUUCCUGAGAUUCCUUCUGUUUCUGGUUGUACUGGUUACUUCAUCUUUGAGGAUCUUAAACUCAGUGGAGGAACUGGAAGAGACAGGGUUUGGCAGACCACCACCCAGACAUGGACUUGUGCUCUUUGUGUGGUAUGUGCAAAAUUGUGUUGACAACAACAUGAUGGCUCUUUGUGACCCCAUGAAAGGAGAUUAUGGGUUCCAUGAAUUCCAUAACAGAGGGCCAUACUUUCUCCUCCCGGAGCUGAAGGAUACAAAGACAUAUGGCUAUUUCACUUUAGGAAACCUUCAUUACAAACAUGCCCGUGAUCUGCCCUUUGAAGUCAAGAAAUACUAUGAUCCACAUAACCCCAGAAGCAACAUGGACAGAGUCAUUGUGAAAUAUAACAAAAACAAGAACAAAGUAGAGGAGGUGUAUAUAUCAGAGCAUUAUAA